rnacentral:rRNA from 1 species
AGUCGAGGGUAUAGGUUUUCGGACCUAGAGACCGGCGCACGGGUGCGUAACGCGUAUGCAAUCUACCUUUCACAGAGGGAUAGCCCAGAGAAAUUUGGAUUAAUACCUCAUAGUAUAAUGAGUUGGCAUCAACAUAUUAUUAAAGUCACAACGGUGAAAGAUGAGCAUGCGUCCCAUUAGCUAGUUGGUAAGGUAACGGCUUACCAAGGCUACGAUGGGUAGGGGUCCUGAGAGGGAGAUCCCCCACACUGGUACUGAGACACGGACCAGACUCCUACGGGAGGCAGCAGUGAGGAAUAUUGGUCAAUGGGCGCAAGCCUGAACCAGCCAUGCCGCGUGCAGGAUGACGGUCCUAUGGAUUGUAAACUGCUUUUGUACGGGAAGAAACAACGAUUCGUGAAUCGUCUUGACGGUACCGUAAGAAUAAGGAUCGGCUAACUCCGUGCCAGCAGCCGCGGUAAUACGGAGGAUCCAAGCGUUAUCCGGAAUCAUUGGGUUUAAAGGGUCCGUAGGCGGUUUAGUAAGUCAGUGGUGAAAGCCCAUCGCUCAACGGUGGAACGGCCAUUGAUACUGCUAGACUUGAAUUAUUAGGAAGUAACUAGAAUAUGUAGUGUAGCGGUGAAAUGCUUAGAGAUUACAUGGAAUACCAAUUGCGAAGGCAGGUUACUACUAAUGGAUUGACGCUGAUGGACGAAAGCGUGGGUAGCGAACAGGAUUAGAUACCCUGGUAGUCCACGCCGUAAACGAUGGAUACUAGCUGUUGGGAGCGAUCUCAGUGGCUAAGCGAAAGUGAUAAGUAUCCCACCUGGGGAGUACGUUCGCAAGAAUGAAACUCAAGGAAUUGACGGGGGCCCGCACAAGCG